rnacentral:lncRNA from 1 species
AAAUAAAAAAGGAAGUCAGAAUUACUACAACAAAAACGGUCUAUAGCGACACUUUUAAAUAUCGGUAUAGGUCAAAAAAAGUGCUGCUGGCUAAAUUUACCGACACUUUUGAAAAGUGUUGCUAUAUGUGGAGUCGCUAGAUAUAUAGUGACAGUUAAAGAGUGUUGCUAUAAUCUAAAAGAGUGCUGCUAAUUUACCAAUAUUUAUUUAAGCAUCUAGCAACCGACAGAACUCUACCUCGUUGGCUGUGGUGGUGGAGGAGGACGAGAGGAAAUGAUCUUCGUCUAGGAUUUCAGUCGAUUGAGUGAGGGAAGAAGGGAAAAUGAUAAUCGAUUUUUUUUCUCUUUUUUUUUUCUUUUUCUUUUCUGUUUGUAAUCGAGCCGAAUGGGCUAAGUGGAGUGGGUUGAGUAGAGUACCCUUUUAUUUUUAGUUGGAUUGGACUUUAUAUUUAGACAUUAGUAGGAUUUUUUUAAGUUUUGGUAUAAAUAUAACACUUAUACAAAAGUAUGUGUCGCUAUAACCUAAUUCUGUUGUAGUGAAUUGUCUAAAUGUUAAUGGAGCAGAUGGAAAUACUGUUAUGGAAAAUGAAUUAAUAGCCACAUGUCACGUAAAUGAUAAUAACAAAUACUAG